rfam:TPA: Bos taurus chromosome 1, whole genome shotgun sequence.
UCCCUUGUGGCUCAGCUGGUAAAAGAAUCUGCCUGCAAUGCAGGAGACCUGGGUUCGAUCCCUGGGUUGGGAA